CGCCGCGGUAAUACGUAGGUGGCAAGCGUUGUCCGGAAUUACUGGGUGUAAAGGGAGCGUAGGCGGGAAGGCAAGUUGAAUGUUAAAUCUAUCGGCUCAACCGAUAGCCGCGUUCAAAACUGUCUUUCUUGAGUGAAGUAGAGGCAAGCAGAAUUCCUAGUGUAGCGGUGAAAUGCGUAGAGAUUAGGAGGAAUACCAGUGGCGAAGGCGGCUUGCUGGGCUUUUACUGACGCUGAGGCUCGAAAGUGUGGGGAGCAAACAGGAUUAGAUACCCUGGUAGUCCACACUGUAAACGAUGAUUACUAGGUGUGGGGGGUCUGACCCCUUCCGUGCCGGAGUUAACACAAUAAGUAAUCCACCUGGGGAGUACGGUCGCAAGACUAAAACUCAAAGGAAUUGACGGGGCCCCGCACAAGCAGUGGAGUAUGUGGUUUAAUUCGAAGCAACGCGAAGAACCUUACCAGGUCUUGACAUCUAACUAAUCCUCUAGAGAUAGAGGAGUGCCCUUCGGGGAAAGUUAAGACAGGUGGUGCAUGGCC
rnacentral:rRNA from 1 species